UCAAUACCAAACGGGUAACUAGCCUUCCACCGCAAUAUUUUAAGCUAUCUUUAUAAUUUUGGUAAUAAAUUUCUACCAGCUGGUAAUAAUGUCGUUCAAACUUAUAUAGCACUCUUUACCAUAAUUUUAAUCAAGUGCAGUACAAAUUUUUUCCGUUGUGGUGCUGAUGAGAUCUACAUUUUGGUGUAGUUUAUUACCACAGAGGUAAGAAUUUUAAUACAUUUUGUAUGAAUUGUGAGACGCUACGCAGCGGCGCUUUUUUCAGUUUUAGUUUCCGCUCAGCUCAACUCAAGUCAACAUGCCGAAAUAAUCCCCGUGUCCAAUUCCAAAUUCUGCAUGUGGGAAAAACUGAUAAAAACUUUUGGAAAUUAAAUAGGAUUUUAGGAAACAGUGAAACGAAAAUUUGAGUUGGAAAUCGGAGCAGAGAUUUUUCUGCAAGACGACCAAGGGGGCGGAGAUCGACGACGAAGUAUUCCUAUCCUUGCUGAAAACCUUAUAACCCAAAACUUUGAAUUCUUUGUCAAAGGCGAAAUACAAACCGAAGUAAAAUUGGAUCCGGCCUGUCCAGUUUCAUCAAUAAUUUACGUUGCACGUCCUGAUGAGACGUCGAUAUCCAGUAAUGGUUUCCGAAAAACCCAAAUUUCCAAUGAGGUUGAUAUUUUCAGUCAGAUUGUUAACGCUGCAACGAUUGAGAGCGCCGAAAUUUCCGUUUAGUAGCAGAGUGCAAUCAGAAAAACUGCUUCGAUAAACCGUCGUCGACAACUUUAGUUAAUGAAUUGGUUGCGUAGUUAUGUAAUUGAGACUUUCUCCUACAACCUCCGACCAGAAACACUUAACAGCUGUAAUAAUUAAGCUACUGCCUUCAUUGAGAUGUUCUAAGUCAGGGGACGGUCUGGACAUUUUAUUUGAUGACGUCAACCGAUGUGUACUCAUCCAAAAUCGACGAUUUAUCAGAAUUUGAAGGGGGAAUAGAAG